AAUAAAUUCUAUUGACUCUCGUAUAAUUUUGGGAAUAGGGCCCAGAAGUCUCUACCGGCGACCGUAAAUCGCCUGUCUACGGGUGAGAAAGUAA
rnacentral:ncRNA from 1 species